rnacentral:rRNA from 1 species
UACGUAGGGUGCGAGCGUUAAUCGGAAUUACUGGGCGUAAAGGGCGCGUAGGCGGCCUGCUAAGUCACACGUGAAAUCCCUCGGCUCAACCGGGGAACUGCGUGUGAUACUGGCGGGCUUGAGGACAGGAGAGGAACGCGGAAUUCCAGGUGUAGCGGUGAAAUGCGUAGAUAUCUGGAGGAACACCGGUGGCGAAGGCGGCGUUCUGGACUGUUUCUGACACUGAAAAACGAAAGCCAGGGGAGCAAACGGG